CGGGUACGCAGCCGAGUCUCCGCAGUGAGCACCGCGACGCCUUCGAAGACGAAUCGUGUUUAGAAUUAAGCCGGUGUGAACGUUAAGUUACACGAGGCGUGCCUUUUUUUCGAAAGGGAUCUUCGAAUCUGGAAGAAAUAGCCGAUGUGCAGUGGGUGAAUUUCAGUUUCCACACCUUUUCCCGAGCAUCUACGAUAUUACUUCGAGAGGAACAGGAAGACAGAAGGAGAGAAAGAUGGAUAGAUAGAUAGAGAGAGAGAGAGAGAGAGAAAGGUUUAUCUGGAAGAAAGGUUGCGCUGCGGUAUCUACGAUCCGCCCUUUUUUCAUGGGAUAUCUGACAUAAAUAAAACCAAAUAAAAAAUAAACGUACCUUAAGAGGCAAAUUUGCAAUUUGAACGUUCUUUUUUUUUUUUUUAUAUUUUCGAUUGAUAUAUUAUUCUUCUAUUUUGUUUCAUACAUAAUCAUUCGUUCUCUUUACUAUCUUCAUCAUUCUCUCUUUCUCUCUAUUUUGAUUUCUAUUUUUGACUGAGUUUUCUUUUUUUUUUGUUUCACUUCCAUGGAUUUUCUCUUCGUUCACAUCGAAAGUCAUGGCAGGACCAAAAGAGAACACAAGUUUCACGUAUUUGAAAAAAAGUACAUUUACGUAACUGCAUCUCGUAAUAUUCCAAAAAUAUCCUUGAAAUCAGGAACAGUGAAUCUUCGAUAGAAGGAGGAUAUUUUCUAUUAAAAAAAAGAAAAGAACAGAAAAUAGUGACAAAAAAUAAGAGAAGAAGAAGAAGAAGAAGAACAAAAGGACAGAGAUAAUAUAUACAACGCGUGUGUGUAUGUGUACGUGUGUGUACGUAAUAUGUGAUAGGAAAAGAUGUUGGAUAGAAAAAAAAUUCAGGCUGACGUGUACAAAGUGAUAAAAUCAGAAGAAGAGAGGUACCCGCUGCUUCCUGGAAUCACCAGGACGAUAUAGAAGCUUAAUGGCGCGAUCGGGGUGGUUCACCCUCGACUUUGGAAGGUCGUCACGAAGGAAUAUCGAUCGUAGGAUCUCAAACGGACGUGAUAAAGAAAAAAAAGAAAAGGAAGAGGACAAGUUAACGUAUCUAAUGCAACGUUACGAACAACGUUAAUUAUUUUUCUUUUUUCUACAACCAUUUUUUUCGAUCUAAAAUCCCCCUAACCCUCUUAAAUAAAUAAAAGACACCACUUUGUAUCGAGAAAAACAAGCGAAAGGUUUUUGAUUGUUGAAAUGAUUUUUAUUUCAACGAGUAAAUAAAGGGGAAGAUUAUUUUAUGAAAAUAAAUGUUAAACAUUGAAAGAUCGUUAGAUUAGGUUAUACGACAAAAACGAAAGAACUGUGAUUAUUUUUGAUUCUCUUUACUGAAGGGAAGGGUUCAAUACCAAUCAAUUUCCCGUCGUGGGAAUUUUCAUUCGGAUUGAUCAAUCGAUUUAGAGAAAAUAAAGGAAGAAGAAAAUAAACGGAAACAAAUUUGUGAAAAGAUAUCGAGUAAAUUUAGAUUAGUUGGUUCUUUACAAAGUAAUCCAACGUCGAAAUAAAAUUCUUUUCUUUUCUUUUCUUUGUUUUUUGUUUUUUUUUUUUCAAGAUCAUUUAACCAACGAAAAAUGAUUAUAAUAUAAUCAUCUCACGGUCAAGUUGAUAAAAAUGAGAAUUCAUUGGAAAUAAUUUCAUUAAUCUCGAAAUGAAUUGUAAAAUUUAAAAAAGAAGAAAAUUGUUCAAUGGUCGUUUGAAGAAACUUGAAAAAAAUACUUGCACAUAAUCAUCGAAAAAAAGAAAACACACACACACACACACAAACCGGAAAGAAGAUAGAAAUGAUUUAAAUCAGUCGUCCACUUUUUCGUUGAAAGUGAUCAAAGUCUAAUACGAAGAAAAAGAAAAACACUCGAAAAAAAAGCAAGAAAAAAAAAGACGUUUUAAUAAUCAUCAAAGUCAUCAUUUUUCUGUAUAUUCAAGUCAGUAUUUUUGCCAGGAUAGAACAGUAACGUAUAUUUCCAACGAAUCUCAAUUUCCAUUCGCCAUUUCGCGUUCUCUCGCGUCCCGUGGUCAUAAAAAUCUAACGACUUGGUUUGCAGUAACGUAAAGACUGCGUCGACGUUGGCUUAUGGUGGUCCCGACCAUAGAAAAUGGAUAGAAAAUAAAAAAAAAAAAAAAAAAGAGAAGGGAAGAAAAGAG